CUAUAUAUACCCUGUAGAACCGAAUUUGUGUGAAGAACGCUCAAUCACAGAUUCGAUUCUAGGGGAGUAUAUGGU
rfam:Oryzias latipes DNA, chromosome21, strain: Hd-rR.